rnacentral:rRNA from 1 species
GAUGAACGCUGGCGGCGUGCCUAAUACAUGCAAGUCGAGCGAACAGACGAGGAGCUUGCUCCUCUGACGUUAGCGGCGGACGGGUGAGUAACACGUGGAUAACCUACCUAUAAGACUGGGAUAACUUCGGGAAACCGGAGCUAAUACCGGAUAAUAUAUUGAACCGCAUGGUUCAAUAGUGAAAGACGGUUUUGCUGUCACUUAUAGAUGGAUCCGCGCCGCAUUAGCUAGUUGGUAAGGUAACGGCUUACCAAGGCAACGAUGCGUAGCCGACCUGAGAGGGUGAUCGGCCACACUGGAACUGAGACACGGUCCAGACUCCUACGGGAGGCAGCAGUAGGGAAUCUUCCGCAAUGGGCGAAAGCCUGACGGAUCAACGCCGCGUGAGUGAUGAAGGUCUUCGGAUCGUAAAACUCUGUUAUUAGGGAAGAACAAAUGUGUAAGUAACUAUGCACGUCUUGACGGUACUUAAUCAGAAAGCCACGGCUAACUACGUG